UCGGAGAGUUUGAUCCUGGCUCAGGAUGAACGCUGGCGGCGUGCCUAAUACAUGCAAGUCGAGCGAACUGAUUAGAAGCUUGCUUCUAUGACGUUAGCGGCGGACGGGUGAGUAACACGUGGGCAACCUGCCUGUAAGACUGGGAUAACUCCGGGAAACCGGAGCUAAUACCGGAUAACAUUUUCUCUUGCAUAAGAGAAAAUUGAAAGAUGGUUUCGGCUAUCACUUACAGAUGGGCCCGCGGUGCAUUAGCUAGUUGGUGAGGUAACGGCUCACCAAGGCAACGAUGCAUAGCCGACCUGAGAGGGUGAUCGGCCACACUGGGACUGAGACACGGCCCAGACUCCUACGGGAGGCAGCAGUAGGGAAUCUUCCGCAAUGGACGAAAGUCUGACGGAGCAACGCCGCGUGAGUGAUGAAGGCUUUCGGGUCGUAAAACUCUGUU
rnacentral:rRNA from 2 species